UACGUAGGGGGCUAGCGUUGUCCGGAAUCAUUGGGCGUAAAGCGCGCGUAGGCGGCCCGGUAAGUCCGCUGUGAAAGUCAAAGGCUCAACCUUUGAAUGUCAGCGGAUACUGCCGGGCUAGAGUCCGGAAGAGGCGAGUGGAACUCCUGGUGUAGCGGUGGAAUGCGCAGAUAUCAGGAAGAACACCAACGGCGAAGGCAGCUCGCUGGGACGGAACUGACGCUAAGGCGCGAAGGCUAGGGGAGCGAACAGG
rnacentral:rRNA from 1 species